rnacentral:rRNA from 1 species
AUUGAACGCUGGCGGCAUGCUUUACACAUGCAAGUCGAACGGUAACAGGCCGCAAGGUGCUGACGAGUGGCGCACGGGUGAGUAAUGCAUCGGAACGUGCCCAGUCGUGGGGGAUAACUACUCGAAAGAGUAGCUAAUACCGCAUACGAUCUAUGGAUGAAAGCGGGGGACCGUAAGGCCUCGCGCGAUUGGAGCGGCCGAUGUCAGAUUAGGUAGUUGGUGGGGUAAAGGCUCACCAAGCCAACGAUCUGUAGCUGGUCUGAGAGGACGACCAGCCACACUGGGACUGAGACACGGCCCAGACUCCUACGGGAGGCAGCAGUGGGGAAUUUUGGGCAAUGGGCGCAAGCCUGAUCCAGCAAUGCCGCGUGCAGGAAGAAGGCCUUCGGGUUGUAAACUGCUUUUGUACGGAACGAAACGGCUCUGGUUAAUACCCGGGGCUAAUGACGGUACCGUAAGAAUAAGCACCGGCUAACUACGUG